rnacentral:rRNA from 1 species
AUUGAACGCUGGCGGCAGGCCUAACACAUGCAAGUCGAGCGGAUGAAGGGAGCUUGCUCCUGGAUUCAGCGGCGGACGGGUGAGUAAUGCCUAGGAAUCUGCCUGGUAGUGGGGGAUAACGUCCGGGAACGGGCGCUAAUACCGCAUACGUCCUGAGGGAGAAAGUGGGGGAUCUUCGGACCUCACGCUAUCAGAUGAGCCUAGGUCGGAUUAGCUAGUUGGUGGGGUAAAGGCCUACCAAGGCGACGAUCCGUAACUGGUCUGAGAGGAUGAUCAGUCACCCUGGAACUGAGACACGGUCCAGACUCCUACGGGAGGCAGCAGUGGGGAAUAUUGGACAAUGGGCGAAAGCCUGAUCCAGCCAUGCCGCGUGUGUGAAGAAGGUCUUCGGAUUGUAAAGCACUUUAAGUUGGGAGGAAGGGCAGUAAGUUAAUACCUUGCUGUUUUGACGUUACCAACAGAAUAAGCACCGGCUAACUUCGUG